rnacentral:rRNA from 1 species
AUUGAACGCUGGCGGCAUGCCUUACACAUGCAAGUCGAACGGUAACAGGUCUUCGGAUGCUGACGAGUGGCGAACGGGUGAGUAACACAUCGGAACGUGCCUAGUAGUGGGGGAUAACUACUCGAAAGAGUGGCUAAUACCGCAUGAGAUCUACGGAUGAAAGCAGGGGAUCGCAAGACCUUGUGCUACUAGAGCGGCCGAUGGCAGAUUAGGUAGUUGGUGGGAUAAAAGCUUACCAAGCCGACGAUCUGUAGCUGGUCUGAGAGGACGAUCAGCCACACUGGGACUGAGACACGGCCCAGACUCCUACGGGAGGCAGCAGUGGGGAAUUUUGGACAAUGGGCGAAAGCCUGAUCCAGCAAUGCCGCGUGCAGGAUGAAGGCCUUCGGGUUGUAAACUGCUUUUGUACGGAACGAAAAGCUCUGGGUUAAUACCCUGGGGUCAUGACGGUACCGUAAGAAUAAGCACCGGCUAACUACGUGCCAGCCGCCCGCAGUAAAAC